rnacentral:rRNA from 1 species
AGUGAACGCUGGCGGCGUGCUUGACACAUGCAAGUCGAACGAGAACGGAUUAUAGCUUGCUAUAAUUGUCAGCUAAGUGGCGCACGGGUGAGUAAUGUAUAGGUAAUAUGCCUCUUACUAAGGGAUAACAAAUGGAAACGUUUGCUAAUACCUUAUACUCCUUAUUAACAGAAGUUAAUAAGGGAAAGAUUUAUUGGUAAGAGAUUAGCCUGUAUUGUAUCAGUUAGUUGGUGGGGUAAUGGCUUACCAAGACUAUGACACAUAACUGGUUUGAGAGGAUGAUCAGUCACACUGGAACUGAGACACGGUCCAGACUCCUACGGGAGGCAGCAGUGGGGAAUAUUGCACAAUGGACGAAAGUCUGAUGCAGCAACGCCGCGUGGAGGAUGACACAUUUCGGUGCGUAAACUCCUUUUAUAUGAGAAGAUAAUGACGGUAUUAUAUGAAUAAGCACCGGUUAACUCCGUGCCAGCAGCCGCGGUAA